UGUUCUGGGGCUUAGUUGGUUGAAGUACCGGUCUAGCGAAUACGGAGUUGUGGGUCAGAAUCCCAUCAGAACUC
rnacentral:tRNA from 1 species